CACAAGGGGAGAGUGCCACAGGGAUCCAGCAAGGCCAUCUGGCUGGUGUCACGGAGACACACACAGGCCACCCGGAUGAUGUCACAGAGACAGAUAGUGUCACAUUGACUGUCCAGGCUCCUAGGGGAAGUGUCACACACAGUCUGAUUUACAGUGUCCUGGGACAGUGUCUCCAUUCACUCACAGGGUCACCUGGACCGUGCCUUGCAGACACAUCCACAGUGUUACAGAGAUACACACGGAGUCCCAAACAGAUAGAGAAGAGAGUGUCUGCAGGACAGCAGCAGCAGACAGUGGCACAGACACAGAUAAUUGCAGGAAAUCAUUGGUUGGUGUGAAGUGGGAGGUUGGAGAGGCAGCCUCUGUCCCCGACCUGACCAGAGCAUCUUCUGGCAGAUCCUACCCGCCUGUCCCUCACUCUUCUCUGUCUCCUUCUGGGGCUGAUGAGCCACCCCCUCCAGAAUCCUCAGCCAGGACUCCCGCCAGCUGUCCUGGCACUGCUCUGGAUGUAGCAGGGAACACCGGGAGCAGGACGGUUCUGGUUCAAAUCUCAACUUUGGCAAUUAUUCACUGUGUGACUGCAGACACAUCAUUUAACCUCCCUCAGCCUCAGCUAAAAAAAACAGACUAGAACUUAUGAUCUGCAUCACAGGCUGCUUACGAGACAAAACAGACCAGGUGCCAUGGCUUACUCCUAUAAUCCCAGCACUUUGGGAGGCCAAGUCAGGAGGAUCACUUGAAGCCAGGAGUUCAAGACCAGCCUGGGCAACAUAGUGAGACCCUGUCUCUACAAAACAAUAAAAAAUACAAAAUUAGCCAGGUGUGGUAGUGUGUGCCCUGUAGUUCCAGUUACUUGGGAGGCUGAGGCAGGAGGAUUGCUUGAGCCCAAAGUUGGGAGGCUGCAGUGAGCUAUGAUGGUACCACUGCACUCCAUCUUGGGUGACAGAGUGAGACCCUAUCUCUAAACAGCAAACAAAAAAGAUGAAAACAUGCUGGGUGCGGUGGCUCAUGCCUGUAAUCCCAGCACUUUGGGAGGCUGAGACAGGUGGAUCACCUGAGGUCAGGAGUCCCAAACCAGCCUGGCCAACAUGGUGAAACCCAUUUCUACUAAAAAUACAAAAAUUAGCCAGAUGUGGUGGCUCACACCUGUAAUCCCAGCUACUCAGGAGGCUGAGGCAGGAGAAUAACUGGAACCCGGGGAGCAGAGGUUGCAGUGAGUCAAGAUCGUGCCACUGCACUCCAGCCUGGGCAACAGAGUGAGAUUCCGUCUCACACAUACACACACACACACACACACACACACACACACACACACAGACUGAAAACAAAAGAAGGCAUUUUAAUACUAAUUUAAAAUAUGACCUCUACAGCUAAUAACAGCAACUCCAGCAGCUAACGCUAAACGAGGGCUUUGCCACAUUCCAGGUACUGUUCAGAGUGUCUGAUAGGUACUAUGAUUAGUCCCCUUGUAUAGAAAGGGAAACUGAGGUUCUGGCCUGAGGUCACACAGCGAGAGGCAGAGCCCCAAUCUCUGCUCAGUGUGUAAGAAGCUGAUCACCACCUCAUGCUGUGUCACCAGGCCCAGGUGAGUGUCCUGCAUAGAGCAAUGUCCAAGGAGCCAGCUCUCCACUGUGCCCAUCUUGGAAGCGGUAAGGAGGUGGGGGUGGGUGUCAGGGGUGGGACAGGGCUCAGGGGCAGCACCCAGGGCUUUCCUCUCUAAGUCCCCUUGUCCCAAAACUCAGGGCCUUCCUCAAAGAGCCCGAGGGAAUUCUCCGGCUGGGUAAACUCAGGGUCCCCAGGAGCCUCUCCAGCCCCCACAGUCAUUAAUCAUAACUGAACUCUCCUGGAUGAAGUUUCCCAUCCCUUUGGGGUUUCUGUCUCCCAGUAUCACUUAAUAUAUACCCUCAUCGGGCCAUAUAUACCUGCUCCUAAUAAACCUCUAUGACUUUAAUGAACUAAAUAGCAAAUUACUUUUUUAUUCAAGAAUGAAAUUUCAUCAUAUUCAUAAUUCAUAUUUUAUUUCAGA
rnacentral:lncRNA from 1 species